rnacentral:tRNA from 1 species
GGAGGGGUGACAGAGUGGUCGAUUGUGCCGGUCUCGAAAACCGGUGUACCGAAAGGUACCGUGGGUUCGAAUCCCACCCCCUCCG